rnacentral:lncRNA from 1 species
AUGCACUACAAAACUUUGAAUCCCACAUAUAUCUAUCACAUAAGUAUCAUUCUCAAAAUAUGGAGUUUUUAAAAUCACAAAUCCAUCACAUCUCUCCAACGGUAAUGACAUAACACAUAGAUGAUGAACCUCUACAUUUUCCUUGAUAGACUUGUAAACUUCACACAACUAUAAAGAAUGAUUAAUAGCGAUUGAAAUAGCGGUGUCAAUUUAAUAGACCACUUUCGAGUUUGUCCGUCACCGGAAAAAAAUCGGCAGUUAUUCGCGCCUUGAUGACGUCAUUUACCAGAUAGAGAGAAUCGCCUAUAUCCCUGCACUAUAAACGUUCACCAAGCGUCUUAAUUAUCGUCAUUAUGCAGGAUAAACUAGAAAUAAUAUUUGUUCCGUAUGUACUUAAUCUUAAUUCCAUAAUGACAACAGUGCUGAAAGAUAAUUAAGAGAAUUCAAUUUGCAAAAUAAUGCGUGCAAUAUAGCUUUAUAGUUUUCAAACCACUCGCUCAACAUUGGAUCAAAAGUGACGACGUCCGUAAACGCACAAAUGAUGUUAACUAAAACCAAAGCUUUUGACGGAAGUGCACCCAACUCGAAAUGUGUCUAUUG